rnacentral:tRNA from 1 species
GGGCCCGUAGCUCAGCCUGGUUAGAGCGCCCGGCUGAUAACCGGGAGGUCCGCGAGUUCGAAUCUCGCCGGGCCCACCA